rnacentral:Y_RNA from 1 species
AGCUGGUCCGGGCAGUGGUGUUUACAAGCAAUUGAUCACAACCAGUUACAGAUUCCUUUGCUCUUUCUCCACUCCCACGGCUUCACUUGACCAGCCAAAA